GACGAACGCUGGCGGCGUGCCUAAUACAUGCAAGUAGAACGCUGAAGGAGGAGCUUGCUUCUCUGGAUGAGUUGCGAACGGGUGAGUAACGCGUAGGCAACCUGCCUGGUAGCGGGGGAUAACUAUUGGAAACGAUAGCUAAUACCGCAUAAGAGUAGAUGUUGCAUGACAUUUGCUUAAAAGGUGCAAUUGCAUCACUACCAGAUGGACCUGCGUUGUAUUAGCUAGUUGGUGGGGUAACGGCUUACCAAGGCGACGAUACAUAGCCGACCUGAGAGGGUGAUCGGCCACGCUGGGACUGAGACACGGCCCAGACUCCUACGGGAGGCAGCAGUAGGGAAUCUUCGGCAAUGGACGGAAGUCUGACCGAGCAACGCCGCGUGAGGGAAGAAGGUUUUCGGAUCGUAAAGCUCUGUUGUAAGAGAAGAACGAGUGUGAGAGUGGAAAGUUCACACUGUGACGGUAUCUUACCAGAAAGGGACGGCUAACUACGUG
rnacentral:rRNA from 1 species